CAGACCUCAGAUCAGACAAGACCACCCGCU
rnacentral:rRNA from 1 species